AUUGAACGCUGGCGGCAGGCCUAACACAUGCAAGUCGAGCGGAUGAAGGGAGCUUGCUCCUGGAUUCAGCGGCGGACGGGUGAGUAAUGCCUAGGAAUCUGCCUGGUCGUGGGGGAUAACGUCCGGAAACGGGCGCUAAUACCGCAUCCGUCCUGAGGGAGAAAGUGGGGGAUCUUCGGACCUCACGCUAUCUGAUGAGCCUAGGUCGGAUUAGCUAGUUGGAGGGGUAAAGGCCUACCAAGGCGACGAUCCGUAACUGGUCUGAGAGGAUGAUCAGUCACACUGGAACUGAGACACGGUCCAGACUCCUACGGGAGGCAGCAGUGGGGAAUAUUGGACAAUGGGCGAAAGCCUGAGGCAGCCAUGCCGCGUGUGUGAAGAAGGUCUUCGGAUUGUAAAGCACUUUAAGUUGGGAGGAAGGGCAGUAAGUUAAUACCUUGCUGUUUUGACGUUACCAACAGAAUAAGCACCGGCUAACUUCGU
rnacentral:rRNA from 1 species